rnacentral:tRNA from 1 species
AGCCCAGUGGUGUAGCGGUCAAGCAUCGGGGGCCCUGAACCCCUGGACCACGGUUCGAAUCCGUGCUGGGCUA